rnacentral:rRNA from 1 species
GAUGAGCGCUGGCGGCGUGCCUAAUACAUGCAAGUCGAGCGAACAGAUAAGGAGCUUGCUCCUUUGACGUUAGCGGCGGACGGGUGAGUAACACGUGGGUAACCUACCUAUAAGACUGGAAUAACUCCGGGAAACCGGGGCUAAUGCCGGAUAACAUUUAGAACCGCAUGGUUCUAAAGUGAAAGAUGGUUUUGCUAUCACUUAUAGAUGGACCCGCGCCGUAUUAGCUAGUUGGUAAGGUAACGGCUUACCAAGGCAACGAUACGUAGCCGACCUGAGAGGGUGAUCGGCCACACUGGAACUGAGACACGGUCCAGACUCCUACGGGAGGCAGCAGUAGGGAAUCUUCCGCAAUGGGCGAAAGCCUGACGGAGCAACGCCGCGUGAGUGAUGAAGGUCUUCGGAUCGUAAAACUCUGUUAUUAGGGAAGAACAAAUGUGUAAGUAACUGUGCACGUCUUGACGGUACCUAAUCAGAAAGCCACGGCUAACUACGU